rnacentral:rRNA from 1 species
CGAAGAAGGACGCGAUAAGCUGCGAUAAGCCUUGGGUAGCCGCAAAUAGGCUGAGAUCCAGGGAUUUCCGAAUGAGGAAACUCACAUGGGUAACCCCAUGUAUUAUGCACUGAAUACAUAGGUGUAUAAGGGUAAACCCGGGGAACUGAAACAUCUAAGUACCCGGAGGAAGAGAAAGAAAAAUCGAUUUCCUAAGUAGCGGCGAGCGAACGGGAAAGAGCCCAAACCAGAAACUUGUUUCUGGGGUUG